rnacentral:rRNA from 1 species
UACGUAGGGGGCUAGCGUUAUCCGGAAUUACUGGGCGUAAAGGGUGCGUAGGCGGUCUUUCAAGCCAGAAGUGAAAGGCUACGGCUCAACCGUAGUAAGCUUUUGGAACUGUAAGACUUGAGUGCAGGAGAGGAGAGUGGAAUUCCUAGUGUAGCGGUGAAAUGCGUAGAUAUUAGGAGGAACACCAGUAGCGAAGGUGGCUCUCUGGACUGUAACUGACGCUGAGGCACGAAAGCGUGGGGAGCAAACAGGAUUAGAUACCCUGGUAGUCCCU